rnacentral:lncRNA from 1 species
UGUGAGAGGGAAGGAGAAGAAGAAGGUACUGCUCUUCUUACCCUUGGUUCAGUGAGGUACUCCUGUAUCUUUUUAAUGAUGUCUGCAUGUGCUUAAGCUUGCCCUAGUGACAUUCUAAUUCUUGGCCCCUGUCUUGGUCUGGGCUGCUAUGACAGCUGUGGGCUUAAACCUUGAAUAUUUAUUGCUCACAGUUCUGGAGACUGGAAAGUCCAAAGAUUAACGUGUUAGCAAAUUCAGGGUCUCAUGAAAGUCUGCUGCCUGGUUCACAGAUGGAUGUCUUCUUGCUGUGUCCUUACCUGGAAGAAGAGGUCAGGACAUCUCUUGCGUAUGUUUUCUGAGGCUACUAAUCCCAUUUAUGAGGGCUUCACCCUCAUAACCUCAUCACUCCCAAAGGCACUACCCCCUAAAACUAUUGCAUUGAGGAUUAGAAUUUCAACACAUAAAUUUUAGGAGGAUAUAGUCAGCAUCAAACAAUCCCAACCCGAACAACUACUCCCCUUAAGGGUUCAGAUAGGUGGAUAUUUCUCCAAGUGUCAUAGUUAUACAAGAUGUAGCCACAGACAAGACCAGAAGCCAGAUCCCAGAUUGCUCCUCUUCUUCACUAAUUGAAACAGUUGCUAAUUGAAACAGUAUGAGGUAUUGAUACAUCACCUUGGAGGGUAGUAGGUAGAAAUACUAAUGUUCUCUACUUCGGGCUGACGACUGUGCUUUCUUCCAUGUGACUCCGUACACCUUUAGACCAAAUCACCUUCCAACAUUUCCCAUUAGUUUUGUAUUUUAAAGUUGAAUUAAUUAUCUUUUAAUUAUCUGUUUAAAACUGUAUUAUAGAUAGCGAAGACAAAAAUUACCACAUUUCAGAAUUCUCAUUUUUAACCUAAAUUUAGCUUUAUGCUAAAAAAUGAUCCAUCAAUGAGAAAAAAACAGAAGUGCUGUGAUGACACAUUGUUCGUACUUUGGUUUGCUGGGAUAACAUUCAGAUGCCAUUUCUCAGAAAUAAUGAGAGAAUUUCUUCAAAGGCAAAACACAGGUGUCCCCCUUGACCAUCACCAUGUGUGUAUGGAUACAUGUGUGCACAAGCCUAGUUGGGGGAGGCGUGUGUUUGUGUACAUGUGUAUUUGAGUGUAUGUGUGUGUGCAUGGUGCAUGCAUGCUGCACCUUAAAAGUGUGCAAUCACAAAUGGUCUCUCCUUUCCAGGUUCUUUCUUUGGUUCAAAUUUCUCCUCCUGCCUAUAUCCUACCUCCUCCUUCCUGUAUCCCUGGUCCCAGAUACUUAAAAGAAGCUCCAUGUAGAGCACUGGGUUCUAAUCCUGGCUCUACCAAUUGUGACUUUAGGCAAUUGUUUUUCAACUUUUCUGUGCCUCAGUUUUCUCAUCUGUAAAAGGGGGCCAAUAAUAGUACCUAUUUCAUAAUUUUGUAAAGAUUAAACGAGUAGAUAUAAAACUCUUCAAAACGUGCUUACUCGAAAAUUCUAUUGUGUUAUUGUUAUUAGGAAUAUCCCUUCAUUAUUCUUUUUUAUCUGAAUCCCAGACCUACCCUUCAAUUUCAGAUUGAAACUGGUCUGCUUAUUGGUGAAAUCCUGACCCAGUAACCUAGAACUUAACGAAAGAUUUUCUGGUUUAAGCUCUGCUACAAGGAUCCAUCAACCUCCAGGGGCUCAUCUCAGGGCUGCUGUUAAGAUUUUAUAACAUAACACCUGCCCCAUGUAGAUUUGAAGAUGAUGGCCCUUAUUUCUCAAGAGUUCUAAAACACUAGCAUGAACAACAAUGCACCUAAUUGAAAUGACAGAGUAAUUUGGAAAAUAAAAUUGAGUUGCUACAAAUCUCGAAUUCCAGAAAAAAAAUUAUAUUCACUCAAAAGAGUUCCAUCUUCUCUACUCCUGACCCCUCAUAGGCAUCUUCAUGUCUCCACUGUCCUGGAGACUUCCCCUCUCUCCUGGGGAAGUCUCCGUCUGCUUCUACAAGAAAUGAGCAAGCAUUUCUAAAGUCACGUCCAAGUUCCACACCCUACCCUCGCGUAGCCUCUCUUUUGCCGUUCUGGCUGGCACACUCGGAAGGUCCCAGCUACUUUUGAUAAUGGCCAUACCUACCAUCUCGAGUUACAUUUCAAUCCACACAGUUUUUAGGGAAAUUUGAAGAUGCAGUGUCAUGUGAAGGAAGGGAAUGUCUAGGAAGCAGCAACGAUGUCAGUAUGCUUGAGGCGUAGUGUGUGGGAUGGAUGACAAAAAACUCUGGAGAUGCGAAAAGGUUUUAGUGGCUCAGGUCAAGGAGUUUAAUUUUUAACUGAUUGGCCAUAAGGAGGCAGUGAAAGACUUUCAUCAGGACAGGGUCAUCAUCAAGUCUGCAUUUGAGAAAUACUACUGUGAUUGCAGCAGGAAAAGCAACAGGGGGAAGAAUCAACCAAAUAACUGGAGCACAGGUAGAUGGCAUUUUUCAAACCCACCACUAAGACAUGGUAACGAAUGCCUUCAAGGAUGGAAAAGAGGGGCCAGUUACGAAGAGCUGGAUAUACUCAAUAGGACUUGGAUACAGAGAUUUCAAAGGUGGUGAGAGGGAGGGGUCAGUCUAAGGCGACUCUAGGGCUCCUAGCUUGAGAGACCAGAAUAGAGAUGUCAAGCCUUUAACUAAAGCAGGUAACAUGGGAGAAACACAAAUUCCAUGAAAACAAGUCCCAUUUGGGACAUGUUCAUUGGAAUGAUCAUUUUAAAUGCUCACAGGCACAUAAAUGCUCAUGACUAGUCAGAACUUUGAACUUCAGGUCUGGCACUCAAAGAAGAAAAUCUGGAGAUACGGAUGAAUAUAAUAUACCACCACAGGUAUUGGUAUGUUGCUAUAAAAAUGGAAGUUUGAAGUCCUAGGAGUGAUGAGAGCAACCAAGUACAUUCAUCAAAUGGAGUACAGAGCAUUAGAAAAGAAGAGGCAAAGAUGAUCCUAAGGAAACCAGGAUUUAAGGACCAAUCAAAGGAAGAUGGAUAGUGGGAGAGGAUAUUAAAAAUGGUAAGAAAAUAACCAGGAGAAAGAGGUGUCUCAAAGCCAAGAGAGGACCAAGUUCAGUAAGGAAGUGGCCAGAAGUGUGAAAUUCUACCAGUCAAGAGAAACAAGAAUUAGGUUAAGGAGGACAAGGAGUGAGAAAAGAUGCCCAUUGGGUUUGGAAAUUAAUUGAGGAAAUUAGAAACCUUAACGUAGCAAUGUACAAGCUUAGUUAUCCUCCUUGAAGUAGGGGGCAGGAGGAAGGUUUGGACUCUCAAAUAAUUGUUUGAGUUAGUUUCAACAUUAGUUUGUUACUGAAGACAUUUGAUAACUGGAGACUUUAGAACAUGUACAUGUAUAUAUGCACAGGGAAAGUCACAAAGUGACGAGUGCACAUCUAGUGUGAUGCCAGGCAGGUCUCUGCCCAGGAGUUAAGUUGAGCUCAGGGUAGAAUUAAUGAUUAAAUGCAUUAUUGUUGCCAUCUGAUCCUCAGAGUCAAAAUUCCUAAAUAAUAAGGAAUAAUGGGUACCUCUUAAAUAAUAAAAAUUCUAGGAGGUAUCCCAGAUGGACAAGGAGUUCAAUCUAAGAGGAGAAAAAGUGGAGUUCCAUAGCAGGAAAAGUGUGCAUUCUUAACAUGAAAGAGAUUGGAAGGUGUAAAAGUGAGAGUGGCGCUGGAAUACACCAAGAACAGGUCAGAUCAAUGCCCUCAACCACCCAGGAACUCAUAAGGAACUGACGUGCAUGGCACCAGUAAAAAUGCCCCAACAUUGAAUGGCAGGGGACUUAGUCUCCAUGUCUUGGUGGCAAUGAUUGGAGGAGACAACAUCUAGAAGAUGACCCAAAUCAAUGAGAGUGGAAGUCACAGGAGAGUGUCAGUGUUGAUCGUGCAGCUAGAAAGUAGAGUGACAGUGAUACCCCGCAAAUGAAGAUGACUUCUGACUGCCUCUCUUAAACCUUUAUGGACUGUGAAAUGAGAAGCAAGUGAUCUUCCUGGUGAGGACGGUGCUUUUGAUAUACUAGGAAUGUAACUGUUUCUUUAAUUCAUCAUCAGGCUUCUUUUAUUUGGGCACAUGUGUGGCACGUGUAUGAAUAUAUAUUCAUGCAUUCAGCACAACUUGGCCAUACAAGGAGCUGAACACUAUAGGUCAGACUGUAAGUUCUGUGAGGGCACAAAGGAUACCUGUGUUACGUACGUCAGAAUCCCAAGGAUAGCACUUUGAGUCCCAAGCUCAAGAGGCUGAGGAUUCGAUCAAAAGGAAGUGUGUGUGGCUGCAAAGAGAGAGGUAGAAGGAAGUGUAAUUGGUGGCUGGAAUUUAAAUUUGAGAGAUAAAGAUGCAAAAGGAGAGACCAUCAUAAAGCACUUAGUGUUGUACCUGGCACAUAAUAAGCACCCAAUAAAUGAUUGCUACCCCCAUAUUCUACAGUGUACUCAUUUUAGGCAACCCUCCCCAAAACAGGGUAUCUUGGGGAAAUUCUAAAGCUUUCAGAUGGAUUUGUAACUAGCCAUAAAUCUGGCUUUGGGUAUAAUUUCAACCUUCUUAAUAGAGCACAAUAUAGUCCCUUCAGGCCAGCAGUAUUUUUAAGACAGAUGGUUUCGAUCAGUUAUUUUAUUAUUCAAAAGUCUGCCCCUCCACAGGAAUCCGUAGACGUUUAAACUGAAGAUGAGUGGUCAUUCUCAGCCAGAGUCAUCCCCAUCUUAAAAAAUACCUCUUCUCAUGUUUUGGUUACCCUUUCCUUUGAUGGACAAACAGCUCCAGCUGUUUCAAUCCUUGAAGUUGCCUCAAGCCUUCCUGAGCAGGCUGGAUAUCCCGCUCUUCCUACGGAGCAAGGGCAUCUGCAUUCAGCCCCUGAGGAGUAGAGAAGACCUACAUUUUCCCUCUGAUCUUAGGCUCAUUCUUUUUAGUAAAUACAAAUACACUGCAGCUCUGUGGAUCUUAUUCACCCAGCAAAAGGGCAUACCCAGUGUUGGGGUACUGAG